GGACGAACGCUGGCGGCGCGCCUAACACAUGCAAGUCGAACGAGAGAUGAAGAGCUUGCUCUUCAAAUCGAGUGGCGAACGGGUGAGUAACGCGUGAGGAACCUGCCUCAAAGAGGGGGGACAACAGUUGGAAACGACUGCUAAUACCGCAUGACGCAUAGAGGUCGCAUGAUCUUUAUGCCAAAGAUUUAUCGCUUCAAGAUGGCCUCGCGUCUGAUUAGCUAGUUGGCGGGGUAACGGCCCACCAAGGCGACGAUCAGUAGCCGGACUGAGAGGUUGAACGGCCACAUUGGGACUGAGAUACGGCCCAGACUCCUACGGGAGGCAGCAGUGGGGAAUAUUGGGCAAUGGGCGCAAGCCUGACCCAGCAACGCCGCGUGAAGGAAGAAGGCUUUCGGGUUGUAAACUUCUUUAAGAGGGAAGAGCAGAAGACGGUACCUCUAGAAUAAGCCACGGCUAACUACGUG
rnacentral:rRNA from 1 species